GAUGAACGCUGGCGGCGUGCUUGAUACAUGCAAGUCGAACGGAGAAUGUAGCAAUACGUUCUUAGUGGCGAACGGGUGAGUAACGCGUUGGUGACCUGCCCCGAAGUGUGGGAUAACAGUUCGAAAGGAUUGCUAAUACCUCAUGUGGUCAAAGAGAUUAGAUGCUUUUUGUCAAAAGGCGAAAGUCGCUUCGGGAGGGACCUGCGUCCCAUCAGCUAGUUGGUAAGGUAACGGCCUACCAAGGCGAUGACGGGUAGGGGACCUGAGAGGGUGGCCCCCCACAAUGGAACUGAAACACGGUCCAUACACCUACGGGUGGCUG
rnacentral:rRNA from 1 species